UUAGCAGUUGCAGAAGAGCACAUUGGCCUGACGAAAAGAGAGGAACCUUGCCCGACUCCUGGUCUUAAUGAAUAUCAUUUUUAAAAAACAACAACAAAAUACUCUGCUUGGGCUGGCCAGGUCUCAAGUUGCUUUCAGCUACACUAGGAUCUCAGCCAGCCUUUCUGAGUGUGUUAUCCUGUGGUUAGAGCACUGCUAUUUGUCCACAGAUUUUGGACAAAAUUGGGUUUAAGCCCCAUCAGAUGGUAAGAGAUGGCAGACGAUCACCUCCUUGCUUUCACGUCCUUUAGGGAACCCACGCAGCAGUUUUUCAUUCUGCCUCCCCAAAGCUUCUCCUAUGUUUGUUUGGGAGACAGAAAUAGCUUUCUGCUAAGAGGAUGGUGAGGUUACGCAUCCUGAGCUGUCACGGUGAGUCAAUAGCCUGGAGUGGUGGAGCUGCCUGCAAGGCAAGGAAUGGGAAACACCCUCGGAGGGGAGCCCUGUGCUGUCCACCUCAUCUCUGCCUGCACCGGGGAACCUCUCUCCAGCAGGACACCUUCCACGCAGGGAUGUUCUCAUUGCUUUUUAAGUGCCCUGGCUCCUCUAUGAGGUUGAUGGCUUGAUCCUGAAAAGGCCACCAUCCCUACCUUUCAGCAGCAUGAGACAGCCUCCAACUGGAAAAGGACGGGAGAUCUAACUUUCGUUACGAUAAUGACAUCUCUCUGUCUGUCUAUCCCUUUGCCUCUUUCCUCCAUCCAGACUUUAGACUCUCCAUGGACCUUGCCACCAUCUGCCUAAUGACUGGGAUGCUGGAGGCUGGGGUCGUCAAAUACUUACAAAUAGUUACCUCUGUACAAAUUUGACCCUGUGCUGAUCACUCAGCAUCAUAGACUUUCCAUUUUCAUAUACACCAGAUAACUUCAGCGUCCAGGGCAAAAAGCUAUUGCUGAAGGUCAUGUUGGCAUCUAAUUCUUGACAUGAAAGGUGCUAGCUCUAAAUCACUGGUGGUGGGAUUCGUCGAGGAGAAGGAAAAGGGAACUUCUGUUCUGUCUUAAUCUUCAUUUCCUCACACUGAAUCCAGGGUCAUCUCUGCGGUGAAGAAGGUGGAGACUUAGCAUCUUGUGAGCUGUCAAGGAGGAAAAGCUGGGAGAAAACGGCCCAGUGAUUAGCAGCCUUGCUAAUGCACACCUAAUUUUUAGUAAAACCUGUGAUGUCUACUUGCAGGUUCAUUUGUAAGCACUGAAUUUAGUGACAUGUCUUACAAUGAUGUAUGUGGAGGAGGGCUUUUGGAUGAUGCAUGGGUCAGUCUAAUUCCUGCAUGGGAAACAUCCAGUCUAUGCUACUUUCACUAUCUGGAAUAAAUGAGCACCCUUCUGGUGAUGCCAUCAGACCAUGUGAGCACCAGCCAGACCUGGAAACGUGCAGAUUCUUGGUAGCUGUAGGAGUGUAAGAUUGUGUAACUCAUUAGCAAAAGUGUGUAACUAUUUGCAAUCUGUUGUUUCCUGCUAACAGGUUUUGGUCCAGCUCAGUAAUGGUAUUUAAUCACCUACCUCUUUGUGAUUACAUUGGUAUGUAGGCAUUUAAUUAUAUUUUGUCCUCAACUAAGCUAGGUCCAUCAUUUUUCAUUUGUCGCUGGCAAAGACUGUGCACAAAGAUGUGUAGUAACUUUUAAGCAACUGCCAGUUCCUGGUGAUGCCGAGACCUUCAUUUUUCAGCUCAGCUGGCUGAUGUAUAGGUGCUAAAGCUGGUGAUCUUGCAUUCAUAUCUAACCCAGCCUGAGGUUCAUAAAAAUGGCACAGUCAUUGCACUGUCAACAAAUACUUUCAAACAGUAAUGACAGUGCCCUAAAGCAAUUUCCUUCUGAUGUUGCUUAAGAUGACGACAAUGACUUGUAAAAGAUAGAAACCUCCAGAUUCUUUGGCCAGGCGGGAUCUCCUGCUGAUGCUUUGAGUGUCUCGCACUUGGGUGAGACUUUGUGUCCCAUCAGCCCAAAGGAUGAGUGAGUGGGUGGUGUCUGGGCAAGGCUGAGGAAAAGAGACGAGGCGAUUGCAGAGACCAAGAACAGAACUGAUGGUAUAGCAGUGGGAUGAGUUCUGGAUUUUGUAAGCAAAAGGCAUAUUCCUCUAUUCAUCAUUUCUGCACAGACCUUUUUUUUUUAAAAUUUCAUUUUAUGGUACUUCUGCAGACACCAGUGCAGGAAUACACAGUCCUGUCACUGAGGAAAGGGUGGCAGGCUGCCAUGUCCCCUCCCCAGUUGUCUACGAUAGCACUGGGCAGGUUCCCCAGCGAUGAGAGAAGUACAGUGAUGCACACGCGUCUGUUGGGUGGUUGAAGUUCUCAGUAGCUCUGCUGGAGCAUGACUAACAGGUGAGCCAAAGAGAAAGAUGCGAGAGAGGCACUGCACAAACGCUGAAUAAAGGAGAGUCCCCUCGCCAAAAAAUGUGCAGCCUGGUGAGAUGGGGACAGGGCAGGCAGUGAGGAGCAGCAUAGCCCAAUCCCAUACCCUUCCCACUGACUCUCUUCAAGGAGGUCCAUCCAGUGCUCUUGAACCACUAAGGCUGAUAGUCUCACCUGCAGACGUUUCUGCCUAUGAACUCAUGAAUGCAAAGCACCAGCAGUACAUCACCAGAGACAAUUCCUUGAGGCAGCCAGUCGCAUCAGCCAGUCUCUCCGCUGCGUUUGUCACAAAUCAAGUUAUUACCUGCCACAUCCAACGUGACUCUGGCGUUACUCACCAUGUUUACUUUCCACCCAACUCCCUGCUGCUGCAGCGCAGAACCAGUCGUGCCAGCUAACGAAUGCCAUCUAAACAGUGUGGAAUGGACUUCUUAUGUGCUAGAUAUGUUAGGUCAUGUAAGUCCUUCCCAAGGGGUAUAAUUAGAGAUCGCCACACCCGCCUUACACAUGUUGAGCUUGACAAGGCUUGUUGGGCUGCGAACCCCCCAGUAGCACAAGUAAACAGCUUGCAAUGAAGUCUGCCCGGAGGGCUGGCUGUUCCAUCGCUGCGGCGCAUCGCCCGGUGCCAAAUUCAUGGGCUGGAGACGCCUGCCUGUGGGUUUGCACAAAACAGUCGUGACAGCCAGCUGGGCGAUGCUCUCUGCUCACAACCCAUUCCCAUUUGCUCGCUGCUUACAUGUUGCAACCAACAUGGGCUUGGAGGUGACUUGUAGCACUCUGCUGUGAAAUAUUACUGGGGGUGGGGGAAAUAAUACCCUUCUCUCUGCACAAUUAGUUUGGCCAUGAAUAUUUUCUGUUAAAAAAUCAGUCUCUCCAAACUGAAGACAUUUUGCUUUUUCCAUUGCUGCAGCUUCCUCCCAUUUUCCAGUAGCAUAAAUGGAAAUGGAUUUUUUUUUUUUUUUAACUUUAGAUUCUUAUUUUGUGAAAGGACAAAAAAAACCUCGAAGAGGUAAAUGCAUCUGGCAAAACCUUCACUUACUAAAAAAAAAAGUAAUCCAGCUUGGAAGGACGUUUCCAAGAGAAUAUGAGAAAAUGUAAGAUCAGCUCUAUUUGAAAAGGAAUUGCCUUCUUCCAUUGACAAGUGACAGAGAGGAAACCGUUGUUCUUAUUUAAACAUAGCCCAAACCUGCAGCGUAUAAACUUCUGUUGGUCUCAGGCUUGUGGUCCUUGUUUCUUUUUGCUUUUCAUCUUCAAAUCUGUCUUUUUUUUUCCCUUUUACUGUCAUGCCUGACUCCUUUUCUCUCUCAUGUAGGAGGUCAGCUUUUCAAAACUGAUCUUAAGUCACCUUACAUCCAGAGUCAGCGUCCUUGCAUCCAAAUAGCCCAGCAUCAUUAGGAUAUUUCAGCGCAGAGAGGCUGCUGUCUAUGAGCUGUUUAUGCAACUUUCUCUGAAGUAUCAUCUCGUCCAGGCCACAGAGAUGCCUGGGCUGAUGCAAGCUUGAAUUACCCAUGUUUCUAGGUCAAACAUCUCAGAAGAUCUCUCCAGACAAAAAGCCCACAGCCUUCAAAAGGCGAGGAGGAUGCCUCCAGUUAAGCUAUCAGAGGGGAAAAAAUCCCGUAUUUCCUUUUAAUUGAUUUUUUCAAACUCUGCCCUUCCAAAAAAAUAAAAUAAUACCCAAGGCGCAUGUAGGUAUGAAGCAGAGCAGGAUGUUAAAUACGCAACCUACGUCAGCAAGGAGCUUGCUCGUAAUCAACCAUCCACCUGAAAUACCUGGGGGCAAGGAAGGAGGCUGUGGGAACAUGUUGCAACAGACUGAAGCCAUCUCGGAGGAGAGCUGCCACACAAACGGCGAGGCGGAAGGGUGCCUUCAGAAGCCACUUGUUAAACGUCUCCUGUUUGAUCCCCACGUAACAGCACGCCAGGAGCAGGAUGAAAAUGUUAAUUCCAAGAGAAGUCCCCCCUCCUCACUCCAGCAGGUUUAUUAUCCUAAUUGACUUACGGCACUCGGUUCUAAAUUAGCCUGCUUGGAAAUGUGAUCGGCACCAGUAAUUUUCCACUUUAUGACAUACUUUAUAAUAAAUAAUUUAAAAAAUCAUAAAUAGCAGUAGUAUUAGAUCACUGGCUCUCAUGAACUAGCCUUAGUUUAAAGUAUGGUGUAGAAAAGAGGGGGUUUUUUUGAUGAUGCAUCCUUAAAAACCGUGUCUGUGUUACUCUUUUGCUGUAAUUAAAUUAUUGCUUAUAAGAACUUUUGCUUGGUCAAAAAGAAAAAAAAAAAACCCAAUUAUAAUAAUUCCACUUCAGUGUUUUCCAUAAGCUCCUAGCCAAGUUGGCCAAUAACUAAGGCAAAGAGCAGGGAAAAAAAAGGUAUGUAUUGUAUACUCACUUAAAACUUGGCUAGAAAUGACCUUUUAUUGUCUAAUUUUUUUUUCCAUGCCCAGCUUGGCUACUUGAGGCAAACUCAUUGCCAAGUUUCUAUAAUGUGUUAUUUUCCUAUGUGUUAUAUGUUCAAAAACAUUUUUAAAAGCUGCCCUCGAAGUGUUGUACAAAGGUUUUGCAUGGACAAGGCCAGAGGACCCUGGGUUUGAUAGCGGUACCAAUGAAGAUGCUGGCGUUCAAAACCAAAAUGUUUUGCUUGCUUUUUUUUUCUUUUUUUUUUUUUUUUUUUAACUUUUUUUCCCCCCCUGUCCUGUUCCCCAUGCAGCCCAACAUGGCAAGAUCUCCAAAUGGGCUGUGCUAACAAACGCAGCUGAAGACAGCCAUGUGAUGUUAAUAUAAACCUCCUCUGUCAGCUUGGAGAGGCACCAGGAAAUCACCCCAGGAAUGCUUUUUGCAGCGCCUGUCUCUGCUCGGUGCCACGCGGUGGCAUUUGUCAGGCGCACUCAGCCGCGGCUCUCCGGAGGGCGCGGACCCUUUUCCCUCUGUCUGGGUCACUGUUACAUGUGUUGUGUUGUGUCUGAGCACAUCGAUGACUUUUUAAUUUAAAAAAGAAAAAAAAAAAAAAAAAAAGGAAGCGAUUCUGGGUUACAAAAACCAACCCCCAAACCAGUUCCUGUCAUUCUGGCUCAUCCAUAAGGAUCUGGCCAUGGCAUAAGUGAUACUUGAGUCACGAUAAAAUAAGAACUGAAACUCUCCUUACAUUCAAGGGUAAUUUCUCUUUGAGUCCCUCAUUAAAAACACCACACUGGAAUAAAUAUAAAGACCAGGGGCUCAGGCAUAUUCUUAUUUGGGAUCAUUUCGUUUUAGAAAGGAAGAAAAAUAAUUUUAAAGUUUGAUGCAAUUUCUUUUGUGGUCAUGCAGUUUAAGUUUGCAUUUCACUGCGUUUGCCUCAGAGACAUGUUUAAUUUCUUUCUUUUUUUAUAUUUAAUUUCAUUUUCUGGUUUUUAUGAAGUCCCGCAAUGGUUUUUUUGUGGUGAGCUGCCAUGGUGUUACCAAUGCAUCUGAAAUAUUACAGCCAGAAAGACAGCCACUUGAAAGCAAUAAUGAAGGCAAGUCUGUCCUAGCUUUUAUUUCCUAUAUGUAUUUUGUCCUAUAUAAAGUUAUACAAAGGGUAAAGCUUCCAGACAUCCUGAUCCUGCAACUGCUUAUAAACAUAUUUAAUUUUAUUAUGCAGUGGCACAAGUUGAAUACAUCUAUAAUACAGAGAUGUAAGCUCUAGCUUUUGAACAUAAUUUAGAAAUCCAGCUACAGAAAAGCAAAUAAAAGUGCAAUUUUCAAUGUUGUACAAGUUUCCUCUCUGCAUUUUGUGUUACCAAACAUCUUUUAAAACCCUACCCCAAGUGAUUUAGGAGCAAAAGUCCCACUAUCAGAGACAGGAGCCUAAAUCAGUCAAAUGUGGCAGAAGGUGAUUAUAUUCCUGAUGGGGCCUUUUCCAUUUUAUGGAUCAACCUAUUUUCACAUGUUUAUCUUCACUCUGAUGUAGAUGGACUCACUCUUCAUUAGCAUGUUGGUAACCGAGCGCAUAUUUAACUCUGCUAUGUGUACUGCUGGCAUUUGUUGGGUUACUUAAAUGUAGGUCAAAUCAGAGAGGGCUUGGAAGAAAAGUGGAGACAAAAUUGAGAGAGGAAAGGUGGUGUGCAGCACGAUGCACACAGAUGGCUUAUUAUCACUAGGACCAUGUGGCAGAAUCCAAACUCAUCUGACAGUCUGUUUUCAUGAUACAAAACUCUUUCAGGGACUGCUGAAUCUCUGAAAGUAUCUGGGUGCAUUCUGCAUGAUGUUCACACUUCGCUGACCUCGCAGAAGCCUUGGAGAAGUUGCAGUUUCAAAUCUAGUUUUGCAAACUAAGAGGUUUAGUGCAGUGCUUGCGGUGGGAUGGAGAUCCCACCAAACAUUUUGGUGUUUGCCAGGUCUCUCAAGCCAGACUCACCAGGUUUCUACAGGUUUCCAGAGACCAGAUGGACAUUUUGUGGGUCCCACCUUGCCUGGCAUCUCUGCAGGAGUAAAAGUAACUCAACAGAAGCUCUUCUCUGUGGAUCUGUCCUUACCUUUCUCCUGCUCAAAGACUACGCAGAAAGCAAGAAUCAAACGACUGAAGGAUUUACGUUGGAACUAGAUCCCCAUGGAUCAGAACAUGAAUAACACCUCCAUCCCCUCCCAAAUCUUCCAGGCCUGACCUUUCACAAUCUCCAUUUCCUGACCAAUGACUCCAAAGAAAAUAGAGCUGCUAGUUGGUAUUUAAUGGAAAUCUGCGCAAAACUUGUCAAAAUACACCACCAUGCCUGUCAGAUGCCUGGGACAAGACCUCUACAGUAGUUUCCAGAAACCCAGUGCAAUUACUUACAUUUUAAAUUAUCUUUAAUUGUCGCAUGUGAGCUACAGAAACAUUUUUCCCCACUCUGAAGCAAGACCUCGCUAUUAAGAGUCACCCCAUAAUUGCGGCUUUAAUAGGGGGACCGCAGCAGGUCAGCCGCGAAGGUUAGCGCAGGGCGCAGCAAGGCGAGAGCGGCUGCUGAACGCCAGAACUGAGCAUCUUUUUUGCUAUCCGAGAGAUUAUUCAGGUUCAUGUGUGACUCGGUACUCGUGGGAUUGCACUGAAUCAGAAUGAAUGCGCUCAUGAAUUGAUAAGGGUGUCAUGAAGGGUGCAAGACUGAUGAAAAAUAGAUGAGAUGGUGUAAAUAUGCUCAAGAGCUGAAUGACAACUGUUAGCCCGGCAAUGCCGAAUUUAAGCAGGCCCUGUCAAUAGCAUUAGAGAUGCUGCACCAGAUUUUCCAGGGCUGCUUGCAAAUUGACCUAAUGUUCCUGUUGACACAAAACCUUGAAAGCGCAGCUAAAAGCGGCAUUGCUGAACACUCCUGAUUCGCUCACAGAUUGCGGUCAGAAGUGAGCAUGAAAGAAAAUACUUGCCUAUGCAUCCAGGAGAGGGGAAAAUAGUGAAUUAACUGUGCACACAAACGCAUGAUAUUACCUUCCAGAAGCGUAGAGCAGAGAAGGAACCUGCCAGCGUUGGGAGGAGUUUCCUUGUCAUCCACUGAACUGUGGUUUUUGGUUCGGUGGCAGAUCUGGGUGUGCACAUGCAACGUUGAUCAGUCUUCAGCCUUGACUGUGGUGCAUGGAAAAAAUCUCUGUCUUUGACAACUUAAAUCCCUAACGUGAAAAAACCCAACUCAAAUCAGAGGAGUCUCAAACUGUUCUUUGUCAGAACUCCAGUUGACCAAGUUGAUGGUCUUUAUUUUCACCAGCUUAUCACAUUAAUAGUUGCUUUUCUUCACUUCUUGCCCCAUCUUGUUCCUCAGUGAGAGAACAUUCAGACUUGUACCAGGCAUGUUAGUCGCAUGCUCUUGGAAGGAAACAUGCAGAGCAAACAAUGAAACAAGGCUGUUUAUAAAGCCUUCAACACAUUAGGCAGUGGAGAAGAGCCCAAGUUUCCACGUAAAGGCCUGAAUGGACAAGAAUGACGUGAAACACAUGGAAAAUAUGGAAAAUGUGGAAUGGAAGAAUUUAUAUCCAAAUGGACCAUCUAAAAGGGCAGCAGAAGCCCAGAGGAGUGAAGCAACGAGCCCAAAGUCAUUAUGAGAACUGAAGCGUGCACACAAAGCACAGUGCCAUGGUCUGAGACAAUUAAAUGCUGAGUUAUAUGAAACUGUCCCUUUGCUGUUGUCAACAGCUUGGAAAAGUUUCCUUUGAUACCACUGUGAUGAUUUGUUUUGCUGCGCUAGCAAUAAAAGAAAAAAAAGGGGAGAGGGGAGUACAAGCAGUGUAUGAAUUGCCGCUAUUCUUCAAGGUGAAAGAUCUGAAUUUCCAUUUCCCUGUGCCAUUAGGACUGAUAUGGGUCUGACUGGCCAGUAUAUGGUGAAAAAGUCCCUCCGUGUGCCAGUAUUGAAAACUGUUUGUGCAUUAGUUGGAGUCUUUGCCAGUGAAAUAAUAUCGUCCCCUUUGUUUAUUAUAUUGAAACUCGAUAAAAGAAAGUGUCGGAGGGGGAAAAAAAUAAGUUUGCGGUGUGAAAUGAAUGUUCUCGUCUGGGCUCCAGGAUGCAGCCGUGAGUAACGUCUGUGGUAUCGCUGGGCGUCCUACUGCAAAAAACAAGUUAUUGUGCUGCAGCUGUAAUCUGUGGAUUUGCUGGGAGAGGGACAGCCCAUGUUUUGUCAAGGGACCGCCACACUCCAUCAGUUAUGGGGACUGUCCCCUUUCAGGGGCAUUGCCUCCUGGGGUGAUGGUGGUGGCAUAGACUCCGUAAGUAACUCAAGUCCAGAUCUAGAUGCCCCACACUGUUAUUCCCGAAAAUGGCAGACCCAGGCAAGCUUGUUCUGAAGCCCAGCAUUAUCUCGGUGCCUCAGCAUUCAGAAUAGAUGCCACUCCCCCAUUCUUUUUCUGAAGAAGUGACUACUUGUUGGAGAUAUUUCUGGAUCAAAAGCUAGCUUUGCUGUAUUGAAAAUUAGCAGAAAAGAACCCAACCAAAUGAAGUGUCCUUUUCAAAUGAGAAAGCUAGAUGCUGUGUGUUGUCAACGUGCUUGCAAGUUGAUGGAACCCCUUUACAAUACAGUGGCAAGGAAUUCCUUUAAAUUACAAAAUCAAAGCAAAGCCAAAACAAAACCAAACAACCCCCUCCAAGCCCAAAAGGUCCCUGUACAAAAAAGGCUAUUAAAAAAAUCUCACAUGGCUGAAAUGCUGCAAGAUUCCAAAAGUAUUAAGCAACAUCAAUUUGUAAGGGGGAGGAAAAGUAUUAGUCAGAUUAUAGAUGCUUUGGGCCAGUCCUCACAAUUUUAUUUCACAUCUGUAAGUGUUAGCACUGAGGGCUCUCACUCUAUGACAGGGGACCUAGGUGUUAAUUCAAUAGGAACUGUAAUAAUAGCAACAACAGCAGCAAUAACACCAGUAGAAAUAUUGGCAUCCACCUCACCCAGCUCAGCACACACGCCACUGGACUACCAGACUAUAUUGAUUUUUACCUGGGCAGCUAUAAUGUGUGACUGCAUGGAUGAAUACAAUAAAGCAGAAAGGCAAUGGUAGCACAAUACGACGUGGCCGUAUUGCACUUUCUGGAGCCUGAGCUGGCACAGCUCUGGGAGGGAACAGCUGGUCCCUGCGAAAGGUCUUGUGUUUCUUUGGGUCGAGGACCAGUGCAGCACCUUCAAUAUUACCAGCACAGUCUUUCAAGAAAUUGUUUUUCCAGAAGAAAGACAUUGGCUAAAUGA